UUGGAGGGCAAGUCUGGUGCCAGCAGCCGCGGUAAUUCCAGCUCCAAUAGCGUAUAUUAAAGUUGUUGCAGUUAAAAAACUCGUAGUUGAAUUUCGGGGUUAGUAGGUUGGUCGUGCCUCAGGUAUGUACUGAUCUCACUGAUUCCUCCUUCCUGAUGAACCGUAAUGCCAUUAAUUUGGUGUUGCGGGGAAACUGGACUGUUACUUUGAAAAAAUUAGAGUGUUUAAAGCAGGCUAACGCUUGAAUACAUUAGCAUGGAAUAAUGAAAUAGGACGUUCGAUCCUAUUUUGUUGGUUUCUAGGAUUGACGUAAUGAUUAAUAGGGAUAGUUGGGGGCAUUAGUAUUCAAUUGUCAGAGGUGAAAUUCUUGGAUUUAUUGAAGACUAACUACUGCGAAAGCAUUUGCCAAGGAUGUUUUCAUUAAUCAAGAACGAAAGUUAGGGGAUCGAAGACGAUCAGAUACCGUCGUAGUCUUAACCAUAAACUAUGCCGACUAGGGAUCGGAUGAUGUUAAUUUUUUAAUGACUCAUUCGGCGCCUUACGGGAAA
rnacentral:rRNA from 1 species